CGGCCAGACUCCUACGGGAGGCAGCAGUGGGGAAUAUUGCACAAUGGGGGGAACCCUGAUGCAGCGACGCCGCGUGGGUGAAGGAGCACCUCGGUGCGUAAAGCCCUAUCGGCAGGGAAGAAACAGACGGUACCUGACUAAGAAGCCCCGGCUAACUACGUGCCAGCAGCCGCGGUAAUACGUAGGGGGCAAGCGUUAUCCGGAUUUACUGGGUGUAAAGGGAGCGUAGACGGCACUGCAAGUCCGGAGUGAAAGCCCAAGGCUUAACCAUGGGACUGCUCUGGAAACUGUGGAGCUUGAGUGCGGGAGGGGCAGGCGGAAUUCCUAGUGUAGCGGUGAAAUGCUUAGAUAUUGCGCAGAACUCCGAUUGCGAAGGCAGCAUACCGGCGGCGAUCUGACGCUGAGGCACGAAAGCGUGGGUAUCGAACAGGAUUAGAUACCCUCGUAA
rnacentral:rRNA from 1 species